rnacentral:rRNA from 1 species
UACGUAGGGAGCAAGCGUUGUCCGGAAUCAUUGGGCGUAAAGCGCGCGUAGGCGGCCUCAUAAGUCCGUUGUGAAAGUCAAAGGCUCAACCUUUGAAAGCCGAUGGAUACUGUGAGGCUAGAGUCCGGAAGAGGCGAGUGGAAUUCCUGGUGUAGCGGUGGAAUGCGCAGAUAUCAGGAGGAGCACCAAUAGCGAAGGCAGCUCGCUGGGACGGUACUGACGCUAAGGCGCGAAAGCGUGGGGAGCGAACAGG